UUGAUCCUGGCUCAGGACGAACGCUGGCGGCGUGCUUCACACAUGCAAGUCGAGCGGUGAAGCCCCUUCGGGGGUGGAUCAGCGGCGAACGGGUGAGUAACACGUGGGCAACCUGCCCCUAGCACUGGGAUAACCCCGGGAAACCGGGGCUAAUACCGGAUACGACCACCGAGGGCAUCCUCCGGUGGUGGAAAGUUCCGGCGGCUAGGGAUGGGCCCGCGGCCUAUCAGCUCGUUGGUGGGGUGAUGGCCCACCAAGGCGACGACGGGUAGCCGGCCUGAGAGGGUGACCGGCCACACUGGGACUGAGACACGGCCCAGACUCCUACGGGAGGCAGCAGUGGGGAAUAUUGCACAAUGGGCGCAAGCCUG
rnacentral:rRNA from 1 species